CAGCCGCCGCGGUAAUAUGGAGGGUGCAAGCGUUAAUCGGAAUUACUGGGCGUAAAGCGUGCGUAGGCGGUUCGUUAAGUCUGUUGUGAAAGCCCCGGGCUCAACCUGGGAAUGGCAAUGGAUACUGGCGAGCUAGAGUGUGUCAGAGGAUGGUGGAAUUCCCGGUGUAGCGGUGAAAUGCGUAGAGAUGUGGAGGAACACCAGCGGCGAAGGCGACUCUCUGGUCUGUAACUGACGCUGAGGAGCGAAAGCGUGGGGAGCGAACAGGAUUAGAGACCCCAGUAGUCCCUGUCUCUUAUAC
rnacentral:rRNA from 1 species